GACGAACGCUGGCGGCGUGCUUAACACAUGCAAGUCGAACGGAAAGGCCCUGCUUUUGUGGGGUGCUCGAGUGGCGAACGGGUGAGUAACCCGUGAGUAACCUGCCCUUGACUUUGGGAUAACUUCAGGAAACUGGGGCUAAUACCGGAUAGGAGCUCCUGCUGCAUGGUGGGGGUUGGAAAGUUUCGGCGGUUGGGGAUGGACUCGCGGCUUAUCAGCUUGUUGGUGGGGUAGUGGCUUACCAAGGCUUUGACGGGUAGCCGGCCUGAGAGGGUGACCGGCCACAUUGGGACUGAGAUACGGCCCAGACUCCUAAGGGAGGCAGCAGUGGGGAAUAUUGCACAAUGGGCGGAAGCCUGAUGCAGCAACGCCGCGUGCGGGAUGACGGCCUUCGGGUUGUAAACCGCUUUCGCCUGUGACGAAGCGUGAGUGACGGUAAUGGGUAAAGAAGCACCGGCUAACUACGUG
rnacentral:rRNA from 1 species